AUGGCAUCUCGUUUUUGGGGACAGGGAGACAGUGACUCUGAGGAGGAGGUGGACGAGAUCGAGUCAGAACAAGGGAGUGAUAGCGAGAAAUCAGAAGCCGGUGAUGGGGGACGCGAUGGGUCCAAGAACCGCUAUCUGAACAAAUAUACACAAGACAGUGACGACUCUGACACUGAGAGCCACCGCGUGAUUCGCUCCUUGAAGGACAAGCGCAAUGAUGAGAUGAAAGCUACUGCCGACCAGAUGCGCAAUGCAAUGAAGAUCAAUGACUGGAUUAGCUUGCAGGAGUGUUUUGACAAGCUAAACAAGCAGCUUGACAAAGUUGUUCGUGUCAAUGAAUCUGCGAAAAUUCCAAAUGGGUAUAUCACAACUCUUGUGCUACUGGAGGACUUCCUUGCCGAGGCUCUUGCAAACAAGGAAGCCAAGAAGAAGAUGAGCAGCAGCAACGCGAAGGCGCUAAAUGCUGUCAAGCAAAAGCUUAAGAAGAACAACAAGCAGUAUGAAGACUUGAUCCAGAAGUGCAGAGAGAAUCCAGAGAGCUUUGAAGAUGAUGUUGCAGAUGAUAAGGAUGUGGAUGAUGAUGAUGAUGAGAGUGGGGAUGAUGUUGUGGAUCCGGAUAAGAUGGCCUCUGACUCAGAAGAUUCAGGGAAUGAAGACGAUGUCAGUCAAGAUGGUGGAGCCUGGGAAAAGAAGUUGAGCAAGAAAGAUAAGAUUAUGGACAAGCAGUUCUUGAAGGACCCGAGUGAGAUUACAUGGGAUAUUGUUGAUAAAAAGCUCAAGGAGAUUGUGGCGUCGAGGGGUAAGAAGGGCACUGGGAGAGUUGAACGUGUGGAGCAGUUAACAUUUUUGACACGGGUGGCAAAAACGCCUGCCCAGAAGCUUGAAAUUCUUUUUCAUGUGAUUUCUGCCCAGUUUGAUGUCAACCCUAGCUUACUUGGUCAUAUGCCAGUCAAUGUGUGGAAGAAGUGUGUUAAUAAUAUGCUUCUUGUGCUUGAUAUUCUGCAACAGUAUCCUAAUAUUGUAGUGGACACCUCAGUGGAGGCUGAUGAGAAGGAAACUCAGAAGGGUGCCGACUAUGAUGGAACAAUCCAUGUUACUGGUGACCUAGUUGCAUUCCUGGAGAGAAUUGACUCGGAGUUCUUUAAGAGUUUGCAGUGUAGUGAUCCAUAUACCAAAGAUUAUGUUCAGAGGCUUAGAGAUGAACCCUUGUUUUUGGUACUUGCGCAAAAUGUGCAAGAGUACCAGGAAAGGGUUGAGAAUCAUAAGGCUGCUGCGAAGGUUGCAUUGCGUCGUGUUGAACUAGUCUACUACAAACCUCAAGAAGUAUAUGAUGCAAUGAGAAAGCUGGCUGAGCAAACUGAGGUUGUCAUGGAGGAUGGAGAUAUUGAGGCCGGCGAUGAGCAUCAAGCAGCUGAUGACAAUAGAGGACCACCACCGUUUAUUGUGAUUCCGGAGGUUGUACCUAGGAAGCCUACUUUCCCCGAGAGUGGCAGAGCUUUGAUGGAUGGAUUGAUGUCUCUAAUUUACAAGUAUGGAGAUGAAAGGACCAAAGCCCGGGCAAUGCUGUGUCACAUAUAUCACUAUGCAAUCUCUGAAGAAUUUUCAGUUGCUCGCGACUUACUCUUAAUGAGUCGUUUACAAGAUGGGAUUCAACUUAUGGACAUCUCAUCUCAGAUUUUAUACAACCGGGUCAUGGCCCAACUGGGGUUAUGCGCCUUCCGAGCUGGUUUGAUAGCUGAUGCUCAUGGUUGCCUGUCUGAGCUAUAUGCAACUGGAAGGGUGAAAGAGUUGCUUGCACAAGGUGUCCAGUAUAGUCGAUACCACGAGAGAACUCCUGAACAGGAACGACUUGAGAGGAGAAGGAUGAUGCCUUACCAUAUGCAUAUAAACCUUGAACUUUUGGAAGCCACACAUUUGAUCUGUGCAAUGCUAAUUGAGGUCCCGUAUAUGGCUUCCAGUACUUAUGACAAGCGGAGGCCUAUGAGCAAAACAUUCCGCAGGCUUCUUGAAAUGAGUGAGAGACAGACUUUUGUUGGACCUCCAGAAACGGUGAGGGAUCAUGUAAUGGCUGCCACGAGGGCCCUCAAUAAGGGUGACCAUGAAAAGGCUUUCAGUGUCAUCAGUUCUCUGGAUACCUGGAAACUUUUGAGGAAUAAGGAGCAUAUCCUUGAGAUGCUGAAGCUUAAAAUCAAGGAAGAGGCUCUUAGAACCUAUCUCUUCUCUUACUCGUCUUGCUACGAGUCCCUGAGCCUUGACCAGCUCACCACUAUGUUUGACCUCAGCGAGGCACACGCUCACAGCGUUGUUAGCAAGAUGAUGAUGCACGAUGAGCUUCAUGCAAGCUGGGACCAGCCAACCAAGUGCAUUGUAUUCCAGAACGUGGAUCAAACCAGGCUGCAGGGACUAAUCUUCCAGAUGACUGAUAGGCUCUCUGUCCUUGUGGAGAGCAACGAGAGGGCGUAUGAAGCCAGGACUGGUGGUGCCCUUGAGGGUGCACCACCCAGGCGCAGGGGUGAUCAAGACUCGUCCAAUAUGGGAAAGUGGCAGGAGAACUUUGUGUCGUCACAAGGCGGCCGCCGCGGCGGUGGGAGGUCUGGUUAUGCUGGUAGAGGAGGCUCUGGGCAGGGCGGUGGGUACCAAAAUGACAGGGGUGGCCAGGGUUCCCGUGGGGGCUAUGGUGGUGGUUCUCGGUUCCAGGAUGGAAGGGCUCGCAACCAGUCUGGUUCCUCGUCUAGAGGGGAUGGCAAUGGACGCAUGGUGAACCUAAACAGGCCUGGUAGAAAUUAG
rnacentral:rRNA from 1 species